GAUGCAAGACCAACCUCCCCAUCUUUUGGAAAUGAAUCUCUUGUAGAGUUCCAACAUCAUCCAGGAGAUAUCCUAUAUGAAGUAACUGUUGAAAUGGAACGCCAGGCAGAGGCUGCGUACGAUGCCUCUGAAGUGGAGAAAGUCUUGGUAGAUUCAUUUAAGCAAGAGAUUGGAGAAAAUCUAGGCCACUUUUCACCUGAAGCAGAUGCAUUCAAACUAACUAGAAUUAAAAG